UACGUAGGGGGCAAGCGUUGUCCGGAAUCAUUGGGCGUAAAGCGCGUGUAGGCGGCCCGAUAAGUCCGCUGUGAAAGUCCAGGGCUCAACCCUGGAAUGCCGGUGGAUACUGUCGGGCUCGAGUCCGGAAGAGGCGAGUGGAAUUCCUGGUGUAGCGGUGAAAUGCGCAGAUAUCAGGAGGAACACCGAUGGCGAAGGCAGCUCGCUGGGACGGUACUGACGCUGAGACGCGAAAGCAUGGGGAGCGAACAGG
rnacentral:rRNA from 1 species